CAGGCUCCGGGUGGGGGUGCGGGGGCUCAAUCCCAGGGCCUUGGGAUCCUGACCUCAGCCAAAGUCAGACACUCAACUGAAUGAGCACCCGCCCCCCCCUUAACAAGGUGCGCUGAGAAGGAAUCAGGCAACUCAAGGCAGCGAGUUCCCUGUCCGCAGAGGUAUUCAAGCAAACAGAGGCAACCCAGGAAUGGAGAGCAGUAGGAUUGGACAACAUGUCCUCUAAUAUUCUACCCAGCCGGAGAUUCUGCGACUGUUGGUGGCACCAACGGAUAUCACUCAUUUCAAAGGGUGGUUUUUCUAUCGUUUUAAUUGUAUUUUAUUUGUAAGUCGGCUCCACGCGGGGUGUGGCCCCAGUGCGGGACUUGAACUCACCACUCUGAGAGGGAGACCUGAGCCGAGAUCAAGAGCUGGAAGCUUAACUGACUGAGCCACCGGGCGCGCUCUACCGUCCCCCCCCUACCCCGCAAAAGGUGAUUUUUCAUGAAAAUGACACGCAGGAUCAGUAAGUCUGCUUCUUCUAGACAUGGAGAGGAGCUGGGGGGGAGGCUUGUUUCCCAGGCAGCAUCACAAAGAAACCGGAGGGUUUUUUUGCAUUUCGUAAGAAAUCAUGGAGACACGUUGGCCAGAACAUUGGGCACCAAAAUAAAACAAAAGGAAACACACUGGCCUCUACCCAUCUGGGCGAACCGAACCGCGGACACACUCUCCCGGGUGCACGAACAAAUACAGACACUGACAAAACCGGUUCUCAUGGGUUCGUGCAAAUGCAGCCCGGCUGCAGGCGGACGCGACACUGGGCCGAGGGGACAGACGCUGCUCACAAGCUGCGGCUGAACUUUCUUUAUUGUCCUUCCCACCCUUAGGGACUCCAGUUUCUUCACGGUCUUUCUUUUUUAGGGGCUUUUUUUUUUUUUUGGCGACUGCCCCUCCAUUCCCUGCCUCUUGCUCCCUAUCUUGUCCUUUUGCUGGGACUGGAGGCACUUCCUUGGUGGCUCCUCGGAGCCUCAGUCAGGUAGGGUAAGUCCGGGGGUGGGGGUGGGGCAAGCAGGCCUGGGCCCCACCCCAGAUGCCGAUUCUCCGAUGCUCCAAUGCUCCGCGGUCCUGUCUCCAUCGCUGUGUGCUCUGGCCUCACCUAGGGCAGGGGAAGAGAGCGACCGUUCUCAUCCUGGGCUCCCCACCCUGCCUCUCCUGGUCACUUGCUCUGUGUCUCCAGAGAAGGACCCUCCCCUCCCCGGGGCUCUGUUUCUCUCCCCGUUAGCCAAAUUUCCCUCCAGUUGGAAAGAUUCUGCGUUUCCCCCUUUGCUCUGGUCCCUAGGACACUCGGAGUUGAAUGUGUCUUGUUUUAUUCUGAGUUGAGACCAGAGUCCCCCCGACCGCACACAUUCAGAAAUGCCCUUCCCAGGCGGAGGGCCCUCUGGGUCCCCUGACUCCUUACUUCCAGCUCUGUCUCAGGACCGUGCCCCUCGUCUUUUCCUCUCCGUAUUCUGGAGCUUGGUCACCAGCUUCCUCUCGUGGCCUCCAGGGCUGGGGCGGUUGGUGUUGGCGGCAGCUUCUCUCUUGGUGCGACCUUUCCGGGCUCCCGCUCCUGGGAACCGGGCAAGAGGUUGGGGUGAGGUGGACGGUGGACGGAGGCCUGGUACAUCCAAGGAGAGGCAGAGGGGUGCCGGGAGUGCAGGGUAGAAGGGGGGAGACUGGGGAGCAGUGGCCACAUAGCUUUGGGGCAGUCGGGAUCCCCGGUGCCCCCAACGUGGAGUGAGGGGCCCCCGAUGGUCUCUUGUUGCUCCCAUAUUCUAGGGGUGCGUGAGGUCCCAGGGCUGAACAGGACAGCCCUCAGUGGAAGAGGGGUUGGAAAGGAAUGACUGGAGGGGUCAAGGGAACAGGGCAGAGACUGGGUUAGAGGUCGGGAGAAGGCCAAGAAGGAAUCCUAGCUGGGGGCGUGGAGGGAGCAGGAAGGUGCCGGGGCCAGACCUUACCCAGGUAGGAGGGCGCUAGGCCGUAGAGCUCGUCGUCAUCCAGGGGGGGGUCUCCGUUCUCGUCCUCGGGGCCUCCGGGCUGUUGGGCCGGGCUGGCUGCUCUGGGGAAACUGGCCUUCAUCCUGGACUGUCUCCCGCGUUGUGUCUCUCUGUCUGUCGUCUUCGAAAGUUCUGUUUGUGUCUGGUUUCUCCACACCUCCCUGGUCACCAGCCCGACUUAUAAGGCCACGUGUCCUCUUCAGGCUCUGUCUGAUGCAAUCUGGCCCUUUCCCAGAACCUGACCCAGUCAACAGCAGUCACGAGGGGGAAAGAGUCGCUCGGUCGGUCGGUCGUGUGAGUCCCAGCUGCUUUGCCUCAUCUCCUCCCUCCGACUGGGGCUCGCCCAACUGGGUAUUUUUCCACAGAGGAGAUCCCCGCCCCUGAGGGAGGAGGAGGAAAGAGGCAGAGUGUGAGCAUAAACAGUCCUUGGGAGCAUGGCCAGUGGGGAUCCCAGGGCCUCACCUGGCCGACCCCGUCCGCUCAGUCCCCUGCCCCUGCCACACAGCUGACCCCCACCCAGUUCUGGCUCAGACACCCAGGGGGCAGAUGGUGGAGAGAAGAACACACCCCAAACUAGGUCAGUGGUUCUCACCCCUAACGCACCCAACACCCCUUUUCGAUAGGAAACUUCUGGAAAGCCCCCUUAAUAUCCCGAGCUGCGGGGGGGGGGGGGGUCUCUAGGGAGUUUCCCUCACCCGAGAGGGAGCCUAGCACAGUGGUUAAGAGUAUGGAUUCUGGAGCCAGCGGCCCUGGGCUCAAUCCUUUGAUCUGCUACUUCCUGGGUGACCCCAGACACGCCACCUCCCCUCUCUGUGCCCUGGUUUUCUCGACUGUAAAAUCGAGGACGAUGAUAGCUGCGUUGACCUCCCCGAGUUGGCGAGAGCAUCAAGCCAGAGUCCGCAGGGAAGGACCCUUGCCAAGGUGCCUGGUACCACGUCCACGGCAACGCAGGCGUUAUCCGCAGACUUUCCAAACAGCUCAGUCCUGCCGUCCCUAGAAGGUAAAGGUAAAAGGAAAUCAAUUUUUUUAAAAAUUUUUCUUUUAAGAUUUAUUUAUUCAUUUGAGGGAGCAUGAGAAGCAGACUCCCCACUGAGCAGGGAGCCCGGUGUGGUAGUGGUGGAGGAGACUCGAUCCCGGGACCCCAAGAUCAUGAGCUGAGCCGAAGGCAGGCACAUGACCAACUGAGCCACCCAGGCACCCCAGGACGUCGAUUUAUCAUGAAAUAAUGUCUUUCACAAGAUGGAUAUACUGGGGUAGAAGACAUUAUGAAGUCCACAGGUGUUUGGACCUAUUUCUUAUGAAUUAAGGAAAGGGAUUCGGAGAAGAAACACAUGAAACUGGUAUUUUCCAUCGUCGCCUGGAGGGAUCUGCCGAGCUGACCCAGAGAGGCCAGUCCCUGCCCACUCAUGUCCUCACUGAGGUGUACGGGUCAGCUCCCACGGUCCCGGGCAGGAAAGGAGGCAGAUACAACCUUCCACCUUUUUUACUUUUUUCAACCUCAGUGGUCUCCAGUACACGAGGACAGGCUGGGGCACGGCCAAGGGGGUGCUUUUUCUCUGCUCCUGUCCCCACUUCUCUGUGAGUCCAUGCAAACACUGUUUCCUCUCAGUGUUACCUGAUUUCACCUCCCCCACCCCAAACCCUGUAAUAACCCAGUCCCGUCCUUUACUUCGCCAGAAGAGACACUUCUGCUUGCGUUUCUCCCUGACCUGAGCCAGAAUUAAAUUUAGUUUUUGUUUUUCAGGUUUGGCUGAUUUGUGAAUUCUUGAAUAUCCAGGAAAUGAAAGUGAGGUCACUUGAAUAAAACACAGUUUGGGAUAAUUACACAGAGAUCACAAGCAGGCAGAGAGAGAGGAGGAAGCAGGCUCCCCAUGAAGCAGAGAGCCCGAUGCGGGACUCGAUCCCAGGACCCUGGGAUCAUGAAUGACCUGAGCCGAAGGCAGAGGCUUUAACCUACUGAGCCACCCAGGCGCCCGCAUGUUGGUUAUUUUAAAUAAAAGUUACGGAAGAGAUAGCCCGUGUGAGGAGAGCUCUCAGACCCUCCUCUGAACCCCGGAAAGCAGGACAUAAAUCUCCCAGGUAAAAGGUUCACUCCCUGGACCAGGAGGUAAAGAGACAUCCUUUCUUUCUUUCUUUCUUUUUCUUUUUUAACUAAUUUACAAAGUUUUCUAUGUCGUUUCAAUCUCUCCCAGUUUUAUAGUCUCUUUGUCUAAAAAGAUAAAAACUACCUGCCUCAGUCAUUUCCUGAGGUCUUAAUUUCAUGACACACAUAAUAAAACUUUGCUUUUCUGGGUUGUUAA